AUAAAUAGUAAGUGUAGAGAAAUUUGGAGAACUUUUUUUAAAAAUCCAGAAUCAUCACGUAGGUAACAGGAAUAACGCGGGCAUUUAGAGGAUGUUUUACAGUGAUUAUUUUAUUUUAACACAGCAGUUGCACAAUAGGUUUAGUCUCUUAUGUGAAGCCAGACUUAAGAACUGAAUGUAAUAGGAAAAAUUUGAUGGUAAAAUUAAUUAAAUUGUGAGGUGGAACCAUGUGUUAUUUUUUUUUUGUGCUUCUAUUCUAGAAGUCCAGCAACUACUUAAAUUUUUGUGUUGGGUUUGUCUAACUGUAACAUCUGCAGAAGCAUGCAUACAUUCAUAUCAUACAAGUAUCUAACAAAAUUAAUGUUAUUGUUGCUAUUUUAAUUAUUAAUACACAUAACUAAUGGUUUUCAGACAUUCGUAUGGAUCUUACACUCCCCCUUCUGACUACAAAACUUAAAAUUUUCCAUUUGUAAAGGUAUUUCUGAAUUAGUUUGAGGAGAGAACAGUAUAUUAAGUUGGGUUUUUAUUCGAAAAGGUACAUAUAUGCAAACUUCUCGGGGCGAUGGCUGUGAAAAAAUCCGUACUUAAAAAAUAGGUUAUGUUUAGAAACUAGGGUACGUGGACCUAUUUUGCUACAAAGGAUAUAGUACACUUUUGCAUGCGCAUGUUCGUUAGUUUGGUGUACAGCCGUCCGAGCGCUGUCGCAAUAGUCGCACUUGUUCUAUGGUCAGUUUGCAUUCUAUCUCUAUAUAUAUACUCUCUUUUCUAUGUUUAUAAGUUUGCAAGUUAAGAACAAAUAUCCAUGAAUGAUACGGGGCUCUUGGUUUGCCUAUUGUACUUGCACUUGGCAAUUGUUUUAUAAACUUAAGUUUUAAUACGUCAAUGUAUUAGGUCCUCAUUUUUUACAUAUCGUUAAAUUGUCAAUGUGUAGCAAGUAUAUGUAUGUACAUCGUGUUUUAUUUCUUACGAAAUAUUUAUGUCUUGACUCAUCUCGACUGGUACUGUUAAAUUAUUCAGUAUUUUACAAAUUGUUUAAUAUUUCAAAAAUAGUCCUGCCCUAUAACUCGAAUCUUAAUAUAUAUAUAACAUAAUUUAAACAUUUGGUCACAAGCGUAAUAUUCGCAUACAUUAUGUGGAGAAGUUAAAAUAUUCUAAAUUUAAAAAAAUAUAGGUUUGCUCAUAAAAUUAAAUGUGUGCUUGUAGGAAAACCCACCAGAGUUUCGGGUGUUACGGGACGUGUAAGUGCACGUAAUCCUUGAACAUGACAUGCGAUAGAGUCCAAUUUAAUUGACCAUUGGUUGUAGAAUUAUAACUAAAAAAAUAUAUUAAAAAAUACAUUAUCAAUUUAGUAUCUGAAUUCAUCUCCAAAAAACCCUGCUCUAUACGAUGCCCAAUGAAGAUUCCUGCUGUCCCGGGCUUCUAGUGCUGAAACACUGCUGAGUGGGUGUGCCUCGCCUAACGGUCCGCCCUUAGCUAGACACGCGGCUGUUCUCCUCAAUGGGACAAAGAACCGGCAACACCGGAUGAACACGUGUUCCCGCCGGCGCAUUCCUUCCACCCUUCAGCCCACUCGCUGCCACGGUCAUAUUUCUGUCUGCGAUCUCUCGCUCUCAUCUCCACCCCAGCACUACCUGGUGACCAUGAUUCACAACCGCGACCUUGAAGCUUGCCCUUAAAACGAAAUGUAUAGCACUAUAUGAGAGUGUGGUGGACAUAGAGAAAUAACAUACAAUUGCUGUUUGUAUGUAUAUGAGCCUUUGUCCUAUAAAAAAACUUUUCAUUUGAAAAAACAAAUAUUUGGUCAUUAAUUGAGAUAAAAACUAUCCUACCCCUCAAGUUGGACUAAGUUACGUAUAUGCGCAAAAUGUCAUUAAAAUCGGUUAAGUAGUUUCGGAGAUUAGCGUGGACGAACAUCGUGACACGGGAUUUUUAUGUAUAAAGAUAUAUCAAUAAAAAUAUACAGCAUUUCAGCUAGGUAUAUAUAUCUAUAUUCAAAAUCAUAACGACUAAAAUUAUGUUAUUUAAAAAAUUCUUCUGUCUGAAUAUGCUUACUCAUAUCAGCCUCAAAGGCAAUAUAAUAUUUUAUAGUUAUUAAAAAUCAAAAUAACUAUAUAACUAAAGAUCAGAAUUUUCAAACAGCUUUCAAUCUAUCUUAUAAGUUCUAUUUUAAAUGUAGUGCAAUAAAAUCUCUCACAGAAAACUCAUUUAUUAAAUUAACAAGUUAUUGUCAUCUUAUUUUUCUGAGACAUUUGCCCAAAAUGCAGAUCACGGCCAUCGCUGUUUUCAAACCACGUUAUUGCGCACUGCUUCACAAGAAAAAGUCAGCUAGAACUCUGAGGGCCGCUUGCAGAGUCCCGCCUCAAAACUCCGAGGAUUCUCCGAGUGCGAGUGGAGUGUGAGUGGAGUUCGAGAUAGAAUUGAAUGAUAUUACUCGAGAUUUCUCCGUGCGUUGCAGAGUCGUCAAAUGGAGGUUCCUCGAAGCCGAGUGGAACUGUUACCACACGCCCACGGGGAAAAAUAUUUCUCUCGAUGUUCACCGCCUUGUAAAUGUAAUUUUUGUCUUUUUUAUGUUGGUGAUUUCAUCCGAAACAUCGAUAGAGUUUCCCCGCUUCACUCUUUGAAUUUUGAAAAAUGGACCCGAUGGGUAUGAGAAAGUUUAGUACUGAAGAAAAGGAUAUAUUGUGCAAGCUAGUACAUAAUCAUAAAUGCCUUGAAAACAAGCGAAGCGAUGUCACAUCAGUGACAGCAAAAAAGAAAGCCUGGGAGCAAGUUGCGACGGAAUUCAAUGCGCAAGAAUUCGUGCAAAAGCGCACUUAGUUGCACUAAAAAUAUGAAGAUGAGGAGGGAGCUGGCUGCAGAAUCCCGGUACAGAAUGGGAACAGGGGGUGGACAUUUCAUCCUCAGCAAGCCUGCACUUGAUGCAGCAGUGCCUCACUUAAUGGAAAAUCUUGGUUUUCUCUGGGACAGUGAUGCUGUUGCGGUGGAAGAGGCAGCUGCUGUCCCAGAGGAGACUGCUGUGGAAGAUGUGCCUCGUGAUCCAGCUCCUGCUGCUUCAACUGCACCAGUCCCUCAGACUUCUGCCCAAGGCAACUAUUUGAAUAUUGUAUUGUGUCUGUUCUCAUACUUCAUUCAAAAGUAGCAAAAUGUCCAGUGUACUGACCGAAAACAUUUGAGAAAUUAGAAAAUGGUGGUUUGAG